rnacentral:misc_RNA from 1 species
GGGUUUUUUUUAUUUUUAUUUUUUAUUCUGUUUAAAAAAAUUUUUUUAGAAAAGGGAAAGUUGACACUAUUUCGCUCAGGCGUCACCUUGGCCGCCCCACGCCUCUCGCCUCAGCACUCUCAAGCGCUUGCCUCUUUCAAGUUGACUCACCUCAGCGGGGAGGGCUCACUUCGCCUCGCCCUACCUAGUGCCUUUUUUUGCCUUUGACAACACUAUGAAUAAUGACACAGAUUCAAGAUUUUUCAUUCAAUUUUACACAUUUUUAUAAUUUGGUACUUGUACAAUAAUUUCAUAUAACUAAGUCCUCCAACAAUAGAACUUGUGAGUUGUGACAAUUUAAAGCUUUCAGUCAACUAAAUUUUGUUCAGUUCUAAACUAAAUUGUUAACAAAUUGGCUAAAAGAUUAAAAAAAGAUGCCAAAAAUAUACACAGAGUCUCCUACUAAGGAGCAAAGAAUUCUUAGACAAAGAUUGUCUAAACUAUACUUCUAAGGAAAAUAUCACUUACUAACUUCUAACCAUGAUUUAAUUUGAAUUCCGAAAGAAUGUUCCCAUUAUAAUAUUUGUAUUCAUUGCAAAUAAAAGGCCAAAAGGCUAAUUUAGCCCUCCAACUUCACCGUCAAAGUUAAUUAAGAUCUCAUAUUUCAACUUGGCUCAAUUAUAACCUUAUAAAGCCCGAGGUUAAACAAUUGAGCCCUAUUCUCCUUAAAUUACAGAACAAAUGGUAUGUGAAACCAACAUAAAUUGGUUCAAUAUGACAUCCAUUAUCUAUAACACAUCUUAAAGGUGGAGAAAAUAAAGAUCCUCGAAUUUUAAUCAUUAUCCUUAAUUUGGAGAUUUUUAUUUUUAUAUCUUUAAUGCUUGUUUUAGACUAUAAAAAUUAUAUUAGGCUAACAUUCCUACAUUUCAAAUGCCAACUGUACAUUGAUUUGAAGAAAAUAGAGCUUAAUUGCUCAAUGUCAAACUCUGUAAGGACCUAAUUCAGCCAAAUAAAAAUAUGAGUCUAAUUGACUUUAGUGACAAGGUAGGAUUAUUAAUUUGGACUUUUAGCCUGAGUAAAGUCAAUUGGCAACUGCUGACUUAAAAGUUCCCUCUUUCCUCCUUCCUCAAUACUUCUGCCUCAAUCAUAUUGAUAAUGACACCAUAACCAUAAGAAAUAUUAACCACAAGAAAUAUUUCAGGCUAACUUUAAGAAAUACAAUGGAUUGACCUUUAACUUUCUUCAAGAAGAUGAAAGAACACUACCAUAACACUUCUAUUCUACUAGUUAUUUUCUAGCACAUAGGUGAGAAUAGACAUGUACCUAACUGUAAACAGUUAAUGCUGGCUAGUACUUAGCAGGGGAAGGUAAUUAAAAGAGAAAAAGAACAACUCGUUUAACCAUCCUUUUGAUUUGUUGGAAAAAGGAAAUGAGACAAACAAUUCAAUCCAUGAAAAAGGUAAGGCCAUCCUAAGGUCCCCAUAGGCAUUUCUCUAAGUUGUUCACAUUAACCAAAUGUUGAAGACUGAAGAGGUCAAGAAAUGGCAAGUUCACCACAGUUAUAUUUAUAGCUAUUAGGCAAACAAAGACUAUCACCAACCUUAGCAUUCAAGUAGUGCAGCAUCAACGAUUGAGCAUUAUGUCUAUAAAAAGAAAGGUCUGUAGCACAAAUAGAUACCUUCUGUACACUCUGUUCUGUAUCUUCAGCAGCAUGCUUACUGAUAGACCUCUCCAAAAUCUCCAGCACCCUUGAGGCACGGGCUCUGGCAUCAUCAACACUCGUAGCACUCAUCAUUUCCCUCACAAACAAGUCCACCCACUCUGCACCAUUCACAGGAAGGUUGCUUGGCAUUGAUUUAUUGUCAGAAGCAGUAGCAUCUCCAUCAUUGGGCAGUGUACCUUGCUCCACAUUUAUGCUAGCUUCUUCAGCAGAACCUGAAUUAUGCUCUGCAGAUUCUAAACAGUGCUCAUUCAGGCUCUUGAUGGCAGAGUCCAAAUCAUUACAAGAUUCUUCCAGUGCUCCCUCAAGAAGCAGAGAAUCGAGGUGCGGGAAAAGAACUUUGAGCUGAUGGAGAGGCGAGGGAGGAGAGAAGCGAACAGGGGAAGUAGAAGAGGAACUGCAGCGCAGCCUUUUGGAAACGGAAGGCGAGGGAAGGUCCUCCAGAAAGAAGGAUCUCUUGCUUCCGCAAACUACCGCUGACAUUUCCGGCAAAUUCUAGGGUAGGCUGAUCGAGUUUGGCUUGUGGAUUAGGUCUGUUGGUUCUGCUUUUGGGUAAUGGGGUUUUAUUUUUUGUAUGCAAUGCGUGUAUAUACAUAUAGCGUUGAUGACGGUGAAGAAGAAGAAAAGC